ACGGGCUAAUUCCGUUCCAACAACCCCGGUAAUACGUGGGUGGCAAACGUUUUUCCGAAUUCUGGGCGUAAAGCGCGCGCAGGGGGUUUUUUAAGUCGGAAGUGAAAGCACCCGGCUCUACCGGGGAGGUUCAUUUGAACUGGCAAACUUGAGUCUCGUAGAGGGGAGGUGGAAUUCAGUGUAUCGGGGAAAUGCGUAGAGAUUUGGAGGAACCCAGUGGCGAAGGCGGCCUUUUGGUCCAUAACUGACGCUCAGGGGCGAAAGCGUGGGGAGCAAACAGGAUUAGAUACCCUGGUAGUCCACGCUGUAAACGAUGUAGACUUGAAGGUUGUGGCCUUCAGCCCCUUUUUUCCGGAAGUUACCCCAUUAAGCGUCCCCCUUGGGAAGUCCGGCCCCAAGUUUAAACUUCAAAGAAAUUGCGGGGGGCCCCCCCAACGGGGGAACAUGUGGUUUUAUUUGAUAGCACCCGAAAAACCCUUCCUUGUCCUGUCAUUCAGAGACUUCGCUAGAGAUAGGGUACUCCUUCGGGAAAUCAGAGACAGGUGGGGCAUGGCUGUCGUCAACUUCUGUUGUGAAAUGUUGGGUUAAGUUCCGCAACGAACGCAACCCUUAUCUUUUGUUGCCAGCCCGUAAUGGGGGGAACUCAAAGGAGCCUCCCGGUGAUAACCCGGAGGAAGGGGGGGAUGCCGUCAAUUCAUCAUGCCCCUAUCGAGUAGGGUUCCCCCCGUGUUCCAAUGGCGGAUCCAAAAAGAACAAAACCCGGGAGAGCAAGCGAUCUUCAUAAAGUUCUUUCUAGUCCGGAUCGGAGUUUCCAAUUCGAUUCCGUGAAGUCGGAAUCGUUAGUAAUCGUAGAUCACAAUGCUCCGGUGAAUCCGUUCCCGGCCCUGGUCCCCCCCCCCCUCCCCCCAUAGGAGUGGGUUCCAAAAGAAGCAGGGAGGUUACCCUUCGGAAGCGCGCUCCCACUGGUA
rnacentral:rRNA from 1 species